rnacentral:lncRNA from 1 species
CAACUGAGAAGCUGAAUGUUGAAGGCCCAGACGCUGUAGACCUUUUUCCUCCUGCUGCUGCCUCAUAGCCUGCAUGGUUUUUGCUGUCUUCUCCUAACUCUACAUCUCAGAGCCUCCCUCACCAUUUCAGGGCCCAGACUGAAAUCGCCAUUUCUCUAAUGGAUAGAUCUGUCUUGCUAUACAUCCUUGAAGUUGCUGCAUACCAUCGAAAUUCACAUCCCUGCUCAGACUCCAGAUAUUUCGCUCAGCUGAGGGGAUAUGCCCGAGCAUGGUCUUAGCUCUGCCUCUGAGCUAUCUGAAAAUACCACCAGUGGCAGCACAUAGCCACCUUGCCAUCUGCCUUCCCCGCCUCCUGGUGACAUCUCUCCAUCACUGCCAUCAUUCCACUGGACUUAACCUUUAUAGCAAAAACACAGGAGUCCUGCUGGGGAUUUAGUUCUUGCUGUUCAUGGCUGUAUCAGUUGAAUCGGAAGCUUCCAAGUGGCCCUUCAUGCAGGAAGAUGUUUAUUCCCCACAGCAUACCAGCACCAAAUCCCAGGCCCUCAAUCUGUUUAGAAACCUGUAUCCCUACUUACCCAAAUAAAGAGGUCAGACCAGAUGUGGGAAGGAAAGUAAGACAGUUGUAAU